CAUUUUGAUUAUGCCAAUCUUUCAAUAACUAAACCUGUUUUGUUGGUAAAUGAAAUAAGCUGUAGACUUUGUACAUUCGAUAAACUAAACAAUCCUAAAACAAAUUGGGCAACGUUUAUUCAUCCAAAUACAGGUAACUCUCAGCGACAUGGGGUUCAAGAAAGGCAUUUCGAGGUCAUUAAUACCAUAUGUGGUGAUCUUCCUUCUAUCAGAUAUCAAAACAUCUCUGAGUUUGCAGACCAUUAAAGAACUCACUUCGCACCCAGUCGCAGCCAGUGAGAAACCUGAUCGCUACUUAGAUGACAUCUGGCGCUUGUGGAUCUUCGAGAAUCACAGGAUCCAGGGGGGUGGGAAAAAUAACCCUCAGCAGUCAAGGAGUCCCAAUAUUCUUACCAAAAGUAAGACUCCUGGAUCUUCUGGAAUGUCGAGAAGCAUGGAAAAGAAAUAUUUCAGUGAAAUGGAAACGGAACAUAUCGAGGAAAGAAACAAACCACUCUGGUCCGGAAAAUAGCUUUUGGUAUUACUGGCCAGGACUAACUUUUCUGAAAAACUUUUGA